UACGUAGGGUGCAAGCGUUAAUCGGAAUUACUGGGCGUAAAGCGUGCGCAGGCGGUCUUGCAAGACAGAUGUGAAAUCCCCGGGCUCAACCUGGGAACUGCAUUUGUGACUGCAAGGCUGGAGUGCGGCAGAGGGGGAUGGAAUUCCGCGUGUAGCAGUGAAAUGCGUAGAUAUGCGGAGGAACACCGAUGGCGAAGGCAAUCCCCCUGGGCCUGCACUGACGCUCAUGCACGAAAGCGUGGGGAGCAAACAGG
rnacentral:rRNA from 1 species